UUCAGGGCUAACCUGCAGUCUCAGAUCAAUCGGAUUGAACAGAGGGUCUGUGAAUGGCUCCUUACAUCAGCAGUCAUCCUCGUGAUAGUGUGUGGCUGGCACCCCGUGCAAUGGUGCCCAUUGGGACAUCCUCAAAAACCUUGUGGCUAAUACCCGNNCGCNGCAGUCAACCCCAGCACAGGGGCCGGCCUUCCCUGGCCGGCCUCCUGGUGGUGGAUCAUGCCCAGCUGAGACGAAGACCAGCUGCCCGUUCCAAGGGGCAGUGUGUUGAGGGUUGACUCAGGCUGGACUCCCAUCUGGGGAACGGCCAUUCUGGCAGAGUUGGUGGCCUCGUGCCACAUCGUUUGAUCACAGGUACUUCUGACCUAUCACCUUGGAUUGUGAGGUAGUGGCUCAACAAUGGCAGUAACGGGUAACGGAGAAUCAGGGUUCGAUUCCGGAGAGGGAGCCUGAGAAACGAGCUACCACUACCAAGGUGGGCAGCAGGCGCAGCAAAUUGCCCAAUACACGUCCCUUUGCGUGAGCACGGACGGAACCGCAGCAAUCUCGCUGGCCUUCUGUGCCAGUGGUCUUUGGAAUGGAUGCAACCCAAACACAGCCAUGAGUAUCGACUGGAGGGCAAGUCUGGUGCCAGCAGCCGCGGUAAUUCCAGCUCCAAGAGCGUACACUAUCAUUGCUUCUGUUAAAACACCUGUAGUCUACCACUGGGUCCCGGUCUGCUGGGUGGCUGGCACCAGGGGUGUGGGGGUGGGGUCCUGCCUNGGCACNAUCCCAANGGUGUGUCCGGGGACCCGCAUCCCCCCUUGAGGAAUACCGGUGAAGAUGCUCCNUGCUGCAAGCCCCCUUCACUGGGGGCCCAGGCGGACACGCCCUCCACGCAGGCACGAUCGCAGACACCCUCCCAUGGGCUGUGUGCCCUGGACCACAGCUCCGUCUGUGGCUGCUGCUCGCCACAGGAGCCCACCUGACCUUGAUACCCUGGAAAACUCAGUGUGCUCAACGCAUCCUGCCCGUCACGGCUGGAUGCUCAUCCAUGGAAUGUCGCAGCAUCGACCUAGUGAGGCUCAGUGUUUGUGCUGGCCUUGGGGCCCACCCAGGGCAAUGUGGUGCAUGGUUCUGGACUGGACGGAGGGGGGCCGUGCUGGCUCGCCCACACGUGUCUCUCCAACUAAGGUAUCUGCAAACCAUGUGCUGACCGGAGAUGAUGGAACCAACCAGGGUGAAAGGUAUUGGACCGCCAGAGGUGAAAUUCUUAGACCGUUCCCAGACCCACUGGAGCGAUGGCGUUCUGCAGGCCUGGGUUCGUCGAUCAAGGAUGAGAGUCUGGGGAACGAAGAUGAUCAGACACCGUCGUAGUCCAGCACCGUAAACAGUGCCAGCAAGGCCUCAGCAGGGCCCCUUCCAAGACCCUGCUGGUGCCACUCCCCUACCAACGAGAAAUCCACAGCCUGUGGGUUCAGGGGGGAGUACUGUCGCAAGGCUGAAACUUAAAGGAAUUGACGGAAUGGCACCACAAGGCGUGGAGUAUGCGGCUUAAUUUGACUCAACACGGGGAAUGUACCCAGGU
rnacentral:rRNA from 1 species